rnacentral:rRNA from 1 species
GGGAGGCAGCAGUAAGGAAUAUUGGACAAUGGGCGCAAGCCUGAUCCAGCCAUGCCGCGUGCAGGAAGACGGUCCUAUGGAUUGUAAACUGCUUUUGUACGGGAAGAAAUACUCCUUCGUGAAGGAGCUUGACGGUACCGUAAGAAUAAGGAUCGGCUAACUCCGUGCCAGCAGCCGCAGUAAUACGGAGGAUCCAAGCGUUAUCCGGAAUCAUUGGGUUUAAAGGGUCCGUAGGCGGUUUAAUAAGUCAGUGGUGAAAUCUGGUCGCUCAACGAUCAAACGGCCAUUGAUGCUGUUAGACUUGAAUUACAAGGAAGUAACUAGAAUAUGUAGUGUAGCGGUGAAAUGCUUAGAUAUUACAUGGAAUACCAAUUGCGAAGGCAGGUUACUACUUGUGUAUUGACGCUGAUGGACGAAAGCGUGGGGAGCGAACAGGAUUAGAUACCCCCGUA